GAUGAAGAACGCAGCGAAAUGCGAUAAGUAAUGUGAAUUGCAGAAUUCAGUGAAUCAUCGAAUCUUUGAACGCACAUUGCGCCCGCCAGUAUUCUGGCGGGCAUGCCUGUUCGAGCGUCAUUUCAACCAUCAAGCCCCCGGCUUGUGUUGGGGACCUGCGGCUGCCGCAGGCCCAGAAAACCAGUGGCGGGCUCGCUAGUCACUCCGAGCGUAGUAAUACAUCUCGCUCAGGGCGUGCUGCGGGUUCCGGCCGUUAAAAAGCCUUAUUUACCCAAGGUUGACCUCGGAUCAGGUAGGAAGACCCGCUGAACUUAAGCAUAUCAAUAAGCGGAGGA
rnacentral:misc_RNA from 1 species